rnacentral:misc_RNA from 1 species
AAUGCUGUUACAAUUGCAGAACCUGAAAGUGAUGCUUAUUAUUCCCAGUAUUUGCAAAGCACUGAAGUGUCUGCUUCUGGGCAGAAGGAUUUGGGUAUGGAAAAUGGAUGUGGUUUUGGGAGAAGGGAUGUGUCGUUUUCAGGAGAGCCUGGAGAGUCUUUGAGAGCAAUUCUCACUGACCCUGUGACGGGCGCUCUCAUGGACGAUGCAAUGAUAUUGCCGUGUGGACAUUCCUUUGGGAGUGGUGGAA